rnacentral:rRNA from 1 species
GAGUUUGAUCAUGGCUCAGGAUGAACGCUGGCGGCGUGCUUAACACAUGCAAGUCGAACGAACCUUCGGGUUAGUGGCGGACGGGUGAGUAACGCGUGAGAAUCUGCCCUCAGGAGGGGGAUAACGGUUGGAAACGACCGCUAAUACCCCAUAUGCCGAUAGGUGAAAUGAAUUUCGCCUGAGGAUGAGCUCGCGUCUGAUUAGCUUGUUGGUGAGGUAAUGGCUCACCAAGGCUUCGAUCAGUAGCUGGUCUGAGAGGAUGAUCAGCCACACUGGGACUGAGACACGGCCCAGACUCCUACGGGAGGCAGCAGUGGGGAAUUUUCCGCAAUGGGCGAAAGCCUGACGGAGCAACGCCGCGUGAGGGACGAAGGCCUCUGGGCUGUAAACCUCUUUUCUCAAGGAAGAAGAUAUGACGGUACUUGAGGAAUAAGCCACGGCUAAUUCCGUGCCAGCAGCCGCGGUAAUACGGGAGUGGCAAGCGUUAUCUUCAAUUUGAGGACAUAACCCGUCAGCAGCCGGCCUUUAAAGUCUUCUGUUAAAUCGUGGAGCUUACCUCCAUUAUGGCAGUGGAAAAUAGUCGGCUGUAUUAUGGUAGGGGCAGAGGGAAUUCCCGGUGUAGCGGUGAAAUGCGUAGAUAUCGGGAAGAACACCAGUGCCGAAGGCGUUUCGUUGGUCCAUUACUGACGUUCAUGGACGAAAGCCAGGGGAGCGAAAGGGAUUAGAUACCCCUGUAGUCCUGGCCGUAAACGAUGAACACUAGGUGUCGGGGGAAUCGACCCCUUCGGUGUCGUAGCUAAACGCGUUAAGUGUUCCGCCUGGGGAGUACGCACGCAAGUGUGAAACUCAAAGGAAUUGACGGGGGCCCGCACAAGCGGUGGAGUAUGUGGUUUAAUUCGAUGCAACGCGAAGAACCUUACCAGGGUUUGACAUCCUGAGAACCUCUUAGAAAUUUGAGGGUGCCUUCGGGAAUUCAGUGACAGGUGGUGCAUGGCUGUCGUCAGCUCGUGUCGUGAGAUGUUGGGUUAAGUCCCGCAACGAGCGCAACCCACGUUUUUAGUUGCCAGCAUUUAGUUGGGCACUCUAGAAAGACCGCCGGCGAUAAACCGGAGGAAGGUGUGGAUGACGUCAAGUCAUCAUGCCCCUUACACCCUGGGCUACACACGUACUACAAUGCUACGGACAAAGGGCAGCAAACUCGCGAGAGCUAGCAAAUCCCAUAAACCGUGGCUCAGUUCAGAUCGUAGGCUGCAACUCGCCUACGUGAAGUAGGAAUCGCUAGUAAUCGCAGGUCAGCAUACUGCGGUGAAUACGUUCCCGGGCCUUGUACACACCGCCCGUCACACCAUGGAAGUUGGCCAUGCCCGAAGUCGUUACUCCAACCCUUGUGGAGGAGGACGCCGAAGGUGGGGCUAAUGACUGGGGUGAAGUCGUAACAAGGUAACC